GAAGUACUCUAAGUUUGUUUCCUCUUCACGAAGGAAAUGUCGGAAAGCUCAUUUCUCAGCUUCUUCGGGUGUACUUCGAAAAAUUCUUUCAUCGCCUCUGUCAAAGGAAUUGAGAGCCAAGUAUAAUGUUAGAUCUUUACCUGUUAGAAAGGGCGAUGAGAUUAAGGUAGCUCGCGGCACUUUUAAGGAUAAAACCGGUAUCGUCAAGUCUGUUUUUCGUCGAAAGGGUCUGGUUUAUUUUACCACGGGUACACGUUAUAAAAUUAAUGGCAAUUCUGUUGAUGUGGGCGUCCACCCUUCUAAAGUUUAUAUUACCAAAAUUUUUGAGAACAAGGACCGCCUAGAUUUAAUAGGACGCAAGGCUGCUCGUCGCGAAAGUUAUUUUACAAAGAAAAAUUCUAAGUCGAAAUGCUCUUAAAUCUACUUUUAAGUUUUUAGUUUAUAUCAUGAAAAAUUGC